rnacentral:lncRNA from 1 species
GUCAGUCAUGCCACAGACCAAAAAGGGCUGGCAGUGGGCAGCUGUGCUAGCAGUGGGAGAAUGGCAUAAGCAAUGGGAGUCGGCGUUUUGGGGGUUGCUAGAUGACAUGGGCAUUGUUUGGAUAAACCUAAAGGACUCUGCCUGGCUGUUAGCAGUAGCAUCUUUGCCUUGUACAUAACGGUUUAGCGUCAUAAAAGUAAGUAAAGUUGUUGGUUUGAAAUUCG